rnacentral:ncRNA from 1 species
UUGUCUGCGGGCUACCUGGUUGAUCCUGCCAGUAGUCAUAUGCUUGUCUCAAAGAUUAAGCCAUGCAUGUCUAAGUAUAAGCGACUAUACUGUGAAACUGCGAAUGGCUCAUUAAAUCAGUUAUGGUUUAUUUGAUGGUACCUUGCUACUUGGAUAACCGUAGUAAUUGUAGAGCUAAUCAUGCAGGAGUUCCCGACUCACGGAGGGAUGUAUUUAUUAGAUAAGAAACCAAACCGGUCUCCGGUUGCGUGGGAAUUUCAAGCUAGAGGUGUCAGAAAAGUUACCACAGGGAUAACUGGCUUGUGGCUGCCAAGCGUUCAUAGCGACGUAGCUUUUUGAUCCUUCGAUGUCGGCUCUUCCUAUCACUGCCUCGCAGCGGGGGCCAAAUGCAGGAUUGUUCACCCACCAACAGGGAACGUGAGCUGGGUUUAGACCGUCGUGAGACAGGUUAGUUUUACCCUACUGCUGUCUGUUUUUCUACGGUAAUUUGGUUCAGUACGAGAGGAACCACCAAUUCGCAUCAUCGGUAUAGCCGCCGCCGGAAACGGCGAUGCGGCGAAGCUGCCAUGCGCCGGAUUAUAACUGAACGCCUCUAAGUUAGAAUCCAUGCCGGAAGGAAAGCCACCUACCGGCCCGGGGACGCCACGAGCAACGGUAGCACUGCCUGAGCCGCGAGCGACCACAAUUCACGGACCCGGGCCGACGAAUCCCUUGCAGACGACUUGAAUAAGGAACGGGGUAUUGUACGCGGCAGAGUGGCCUUGUUGCCACGAUCCGCUGAGAUUCAGCCUUGGUUCUGACGAUUU